GACUAAAGAGAUGACGCGUGCCCGGAAAAUCAAAGAUGGCGGCGCUCAUUAAAGUGCACAGUUUCAUCAAAACAAAUAAAUGUUUAUAACUGGGUGAACAUCUUACGAAACAGAAGAUUGCACAUAAACCUUCUCAUAACACACAGUUUGUGUCACGAUUGCUGUCUCUUCAAAAUGUGUCUAGCGAGUGAACACUUCCUGGUUAUGCUUCCCAGAAUUCCUCUGUGGGUUCUUUGUCAUCCAACACCUGAAACUGGAGCAUGUACAGUAGAGCCACACCCACAACUCACACAUCACCCUUCAAUGAACUCCACUGGAGGUGUUAGCUAUACAGCGCACACGCGUGUCCUCCGGGCAUAUGCUCUAUUCAGCAAUAUAGAGGUGAUCUUUCAUUUUGACAGGCCAUCAGAUCUCAUUUCAUGUAAGAUGUGGAGAUACUGGUUUGCUGAGCACAAGUGUUCAUUUGUUAUGAUUCUGUAAAACCAACAGACUCAUAAAGAGAUGUAAGCUUUUGGUUUACUAGGCAGGGAUUAUAAGUCUCAGGGAGAGCCGUACUCAUCUGUGAUUUCUUGCGUUUGUGAUAAAACUACAGCGAAUACUCCACGUUAAAGAAGCAUCAGAUGUGUUGGGAUUAGAAACAGGAAUGAUGCUGAGACGCACAAGCUGUUUUUAAACACAACAAACAUAAUGCAUUUAAUGUCUUACGAAACCACAGACCUGAAAAUCAGAUCAGUCGUAUUGAUGUGAACCUCUGAACAUUGAUGUUGAUUUCACAAUCAUUCAUUUAUUUAGUCAAGUGGUUCAUACAAAAAAACACUGUCCUUUAAAUGCUUAUUCCUCCACUUUGCAUUAGUACAAUAGUUUUGAAGCUGCAUUAGUGUGCAAUAUGUACAAUUUUGUUUUUACAUUAAAGGGCACCAAUUUUAUUGCUAAAACAAGGUUAUUUUGUGUAUUUGAUAUAAUACAAUGCGUUCGCAUGGUUUAUGGUUCAAAAACCCAUUAUUUUCCACAUACCGUACAUUUUUGGGGCUUCAGAUACCCCUGUCUUCCUGAAACGCACAGAUUUUGUACAAAACUAACUCAUCGAUUUAAAAAGCUCUGUGUCCCUGAUUGGCCAGCUAAUUUCUACGUUGUGAUUGGUCUGAAUAUCUCUGACGUCAAUGUGACGCUCCUUACCAUGUUUGAAAGAUUCGCUCAAAAUGCAAUGCUGACAGGAGUUAACAUAAAGGCUAAAGUCCAAUUUAUAGUCAUGCGUAAGGUCUACGGCAUAGGUUGACCAUAGCCUCUGCGAAGCCUGAAGUGCACCUCACAACAUUUUUAACAGCGUGCCAGUUCUACGCGGACCGCAAACGCUGUGAUUGGCCUUUUGCAUAUCAUUAAAGGUGCAGUGUGUAAUUUUAGCGGCAUCUAGUGGUGAGGUGCUGGUGAAUUGCAACCAAUGACUCAGUCCACUGCUUACGUUUUUUGAUCACAUAGAGAAGGUACAGUAGCCGCCACCGGACAAACAUGUCAUUGGAGACAACUUAGUAAAAAAAGUUUGUCCAUUAAGGGUUUAUGUAGAAACAUGGCGGCACAAAAUGGCGAUGGUCCAUGUAAGGGGACCUUCGGUAUAUGUAGAUAAAAAUGUCUCAUUCUAAGGUAAUAAACACACAAACGGUUCAUUAUGAAAGGUCUUUAUACACCACUGAUAAUAUAGUUUUGUAUAUUAUUUUGCAUUUCUGUUAAGAGAUCCUUCUAAAAAUUACACACUGCACCUUUAACAUGUACUAAUACACACUUACGGUACAUUCACACGGGGUGAAAGCGUUAACGCUUGACAGAAGGCUUGUCUGAAGCGUGGCCGACUGCCAAUCACAGGGGCCGCAACACAUGCUCCGGUCUUCCAUAAACGUAAUUGGCUGGCUCUGCCUAGGUUAUUUGCAUAAGGUGAUCUGAUUGGCUGACGCACGCGUUGCCGCUUGAAAUGUUGAGAAAUGUUCAACUUCUGCCGCGAGCAAUGGCAGUGACGAGGCGCCGACGGAUCCAGAAUUCAGUUCGGCAACGCAUUAUGUCACCCAUUAAAAGUGAAUGGGAAGCGUUAAUGCUUACGCCCCGUGUGAAUGCACCGUUACACACCAAAGGAAAUGAAAAAUCGUGAAUCGGACAAUAGGUGCCCUUUAAAGACAUGAAACAAUUUAAACACUCAAGGUUGAAGUCUAGGUUGUUCUUUUGUACUUUGGACAUUUUUAAAAACAUUGUAAUUGUAUAAAGUUUUUAGAGUCCCCUACAACAAAUGCAUACAAGGUA